ensembl:ncRNA Y116A8B.98 ncRNA
GGUGGUUGCCCUUUCUUUCUUCUUCUGCUUUUCUUUGUAUUUCAAUCAUAUUAAACAAACAAUUGGAGUGCCAUGUUGUUCCGAUUUGUGUAGAUGAUUAGAAUUUUUCAUCUCGAAGUUAUUCUAAAAUUUUUCAGAAGAAUUUGGUCCAAUGCUACAACUUGAAACAAUAGGAUUCAAUAAAAACGAAGAUUUUGAUAAACUCCCAACUUUGGAGCAAUUCUUCCUUUGCGGCCAAAAUAUGUGGACAUGAAAAUCCGACCAGAAAUUGAGGAGAAGUGGUUGUUCUUAUUGGAUCAUUUGUUCACGAUAUAAAUUAAAUCAGAAUAUCUUCCACUGAAACCCGCCUAUGCGGUAACUUAUCACAAAGCACAAGGUCAGACCUAGGAUUUGGUGUAUGUUCAAUCAAUUUAUGUUGUAUUGGAUAUAAAUAAAUGUUUUGUUGCACCUAGAAACCCUAGUAACAUGUCAUCUGGUUACGCCCUCUGGACACGCCCAUGACACCAAGAAGAAGAAAGAAGAGAAGAGCAAGGUAGUGUGGUGGUGAUGAUGGUUCCUGAGUGGUGAUGGUAUGAGCUCUCAUUCUAUUCUAUCUUUAUUCUAUCUUUUACAUAUUAAUCCUCAUUAUUCUUUAUAUUCUUUAACUUCCAAUAAUA